rnacentral:rRNA from 1 species
GUGUCAGCAGCCGCGAUAAGACAUAGGUGGCGAACGUUAUCCGGAAUUAUUGGGCGUAAAGAGUGCGUAGGUGGUUUAAUAAGUUAUUGGUGGGAAAUCGGGGCUCAACCCCGUGGAAGUCGGUAAUACUGUUAGACUAGAGGACCGGAGGGGUUAACGGAAUGGUUCAUGUAGGGGUAAAAUCCAUAGAUAUGAAUUAGAACACCAAUCGGCGAAGGCAGUUAACUAUUCGGUUCCUGACGUUGAGGCACGAAAGCGUGGGGAGCAAGACGGAUUAGAAACCCGAGUAGUCC